CUUUAGUACUUGCUUGGUAUGAGAAAUGUAAACAGAAAAAGGAGGGGGGUUUCCCUCUGCGAGUCUCUAGGCAUUCGACAAUCCAUGAGAUGAAAUAAAAACUGUGGUGCCAGGUGGCAGCAGAGGAGCAAUCUGACAAAAUGGCAUCUGACAGUGGAAUUGCUUAUGGAGAAAAGGUGUGUUGUUGAAAUCUUUCAUGUGGAAAAAGUGGCACCCAUUGACAUUCACUGAUACUUGCUGAACGUUUCUGGAGACCAAACAGUGGCUGUGAGCACAGUGAGGGGAUGAGAAGGUGAAGGGAAAUCCUUAAGACCACUCUUCAAGUGGAGGAAGCAGGAUAGAAGACUCAUAAUCAUGUCCUAACAGCGCUUCCAUGACUGAGAGAUAAUGGACACAUCUGCAUCAUGAUCAAAAGUAUAGUGUGAGCCUAUCUGAGCUUACUUCAGAAAUUCAGGCUUGACCUCUGAGGGUUUAUGCUAAUGUAUUUGGUGUUCAUUCAGUAUCUAGCAUAGUGGUCCAUGAUCCAUCACUGUGCUCCCAAGGUGCUCCUGCAAGACAGAUUUCAGCCACCGUUCCCUUUGUAUAGGUACCUUUACCUGUGAAUCUGAAGAGAAUGCUGUGUGGACUGUGAAUUCCUGUCAGAAGACACGGUAAGUAUUUGGACAGCUAAUUCAUGCAGGUCCCUGAGCUACCACUGCUAGUAUUAAGCUCACUAGUUAAAGCCGCUUUAGAUGAAUGCAGCUACAGCAGAAGCUGAAUGAUAAAUAUUCCCAAAUGUAACCAAACAAACUGGCAAACUCUGAAUAAAUAUAUGAAAUACAUCGUAGUAGUCACAAACUCUGCUUGUUACUCUCAAGAGGAAUAAAUUUUGUUUAGG
ensembl:lncRNA